rnacentral:lncRNA from 1 species
CGUGUCGUCGGUGUCGAUGGCCUCGCCGCGCACGGCACCACCCUGGAUGGACUCCAUGGCGGUGGAGUAGAGCGCCUUCUGGCCCACUGGCCGCUUCUCGUCCGCUGUGCUCUGAGCACCCUCCGCCUGCCGCUCCCUCUCCUGCUGGUCGAUGUUGUGGACGCCGAGCAGCAGGCUGUAGUCCAUGAUCUUGAAGCUCUCCAGCACCUGGCAGUCGCUGUAGUGUCUUGACCAGGGCGCCAAAGGUAUCGGCAUCAAGUAGCAGCCCUCGGGCAUGUCCUGCAUGAAGUCCAGGUCCUUGUAGGUGGAGCCCUUGAGGUCGAACUUGAGGUGCAUCUUGACGACCCGCGGAAGCACGUUGUUCAUGACCACCACGAAUGUUCUUGCCACCCGACUGCACGCAGUACAGCCCGUAGAACUUGGGCAGCAGCGUGCGGGGGUUCUGGUUGAGGUUC